rnacentral:rRNA from 1 species
UACGUAGGGACCAAGCGUUGUUCGGAUUUACUGGGCGUAAAGGGCGCGUAGGCGGCGUGGUAAGUCACUUGUGAAAUCUCUGAGCUUAACUCAGAACGGUCAAGUGAUACUGCUGUGCUAGAGUGCGGAAGGGGCAAUCGGAAUUCUUGGUGUAGCGGUGAAAUGCGUAGAUAUCAAGAGGAACACCUGAGGUGAAGACGGGUUGCUGGGCCGACACGUGACGCUGAUGCGCGAAAGCCAGGGGAGCAAACGGGAUUAAGAAACCCCCAGGUA